rnacentral:rRNA from 1 species
CGUAGGGUGCAAGCGUUAAUCGGAAUUACUGGGCGUAAAGCGUGCGCAGGCGGUUUUAUAAGUCUGAUGUGAAAUCCCCGGGCUCAACCUGGGAACUGCAUUGGAGACUGUAAGGCUAGAGUGUGUCAGAGGGGGGUAGAAUUCCACGUGUAGCAGUGAAAUGCGUAGAUAUGUGGAGGAAUACCGAUGGCGAAGGCAGCCCCCUGGGAUAACACUGACGCUCAUGCACGUAAGCGUGGGGAGCAAACAGGAUUAGAUACCCUGGUAGUCCACGCCCUAAACGAUGUCUACUAGUUGUCGGGUCUUAAUUGACUUGGUAACGCAGCUAACGCGUGAAGUAGACCGCCUGGGGAGUACGGUCGCAAGAUUA